rnacentral:rRNA from 1 species
AUUGAACGCUGGCGGCAUGCCUUACACAUGCAAGUCGAACGGCAGCACGGGGGCAACCCUGGUGGCGAGUGGCGAACGGGUGAGUAAUACAUCGGAACGUGUCCUGUAGUGGGGGAUAGCCCGGCGAAAGCCGGAUUAAUACCGCAUACGCUCUACGGAGGAAAGGGGGGGAUCUUAGGACCUCCCGCUACAGGGGCGGCCGAUGGCAGAUUAGCUAGUUGGUGGGGUAAAGGCCUACCAAGGCGACGAUCUGUAGCUGGUCUGAGAGGACGACCAGCCACACUGGGACUGAGACACGGCCCAGACUCCUACGGGAGGCAGCAGUGGGGAAUUUUGGACAAUGGGGGCAACCCUGAUCCAGCAAUGCCGCGUGUGUGAAGAAGGCCUUCGGGUUGUAAAGCACUUUUGUCCGGAAAGAAAACGCCGUGGUUAAUACCCGUGGCGGAUGAC